GGAGUUGUAGCUCAGUUGGCUAGAGCGCUUCGUUCACAUCGAAGAGGUCACAGGUUCAAGUCCUGUCAACUCCA
rnacentral:tRNA from 6 species